rnacentral:lncRNA from 1 species
UUGAUCCAUUAUUUCUUCUUUUCAUCCUUUUCUUUAUCCAGUUCUCUUCUCUCCCUCAACAGAUCUCAGCCCUUCAUCUUUCCAAGAAAAGGCUAUGGAUUUGGAAGUGCUUCUGGAUAGAAAAGUUGAGUGACCACUGUUUAGCACUUCUGUAAGUAUGUUUAUGCAAGUUGAUUGACUGGUGGCACAGCUCAAGUUGUCAUUGAUAAGUG